rnacentral:tRNA from 41 species
UCCCCAAUAGCUUAGUGGUAGAGCGUUCGGCUGUUAACCGACCGGUCGUAGGUUCGAAUCCUACUUGGGGAG